AUUGAACGCUGGCGGCAGGCCUAACACAUGCAAGUCGAGCGGAUGAAGGGAGCUUGCUCCUGGAUUCAGCGGCGGACGGGUGAGUAAUGCCUAGGAAUCUGCCUGGUAGUGGGGGAUAACGUCCGGAAACGGGCGCUAAUACCGCAUACGUCCUGAGGGAGAAAGUGGGGGAUCUUCGGACCUCACGCUAUCAGAUGAGCCUAGGUCGGAUUAGCUAGUUGGUGGGGUAAAGGCCUACCAAGGCGACGAUCCGUAACUGGUCUGAGAGGAUGAUCAGUCACACUGGAACUGAGACACGGUCCAGACUCCUACGGGAGGCAGCAGUGGGGAAUAUUGGAUAAUGGGCGAAAGCCUGAUCCAGCCAUGCCGCGUGUGUGAAGAAGGUCUUCGGAUUGUAAAGCACUUUAAGUUGGGGGGAAGGGCAGUAAGUUAAUACCUUGCUGUUUUGACGUUACCAACAGAAUAAGCACCGGCUAACUUCGUG
rnacentral:rRNA from 1 species